rnacentral:sRNA from 1 species
GGUGUGAGUGUCGCUCAUGGGCAUCGAUACCUUGCGGCUAUGAACUGGAACAAGAAGGGUAGCAAAGAUUUUGAGUAGCAAUGCUCACUACUCUUGGGGUUUUAAUCCUUCCGAGUUGUGUUGAUGUUAUUCCAAGAAUUAGCUAACUGUAACGAAGAUGUUCUUGGCAACCAUCUUUUGAUGGGAGUCUGGCUAUUCGAUGAUCGGCUAAGGGUGAUGAACGAAAUGUGAACCCUUGUCUAACCUCUGUUGGAUGGUCGUGAAACAAUUGCUAAGUGCCCGAUUGAUCACCCGGCCGUCCGGUUUGAGGAUUCGUCGACCAUCCGGCCGUCCGGUCGAGGAUUCGUCAGACUCGUUAGAUUUUUCUCGACGAUUCCAACCACUGUCGACGAUUUCUCGGACCCGGUAAAAUUUUCUCGACGAUUCCGGAUCGAGGAUUCCUCGGACUCGAUUUUUUCCGUUGACGAUUUUAAGUUCUGGUCGAAACGUACUUAAAAUCCUUUGUAUAUUCACCUA